rnacentral:rRNA from 1 species
GGAUGCGAUCAUACCAGCACUAAAGCACCGGAUACCAUCAGAACUCUGAAGUUAAGCGUGCUUGGGCGAGAGUGGUACUAGGAUGGGUGACCUCCUGGGAAGUCCUCGUGUUGCAUUCC